GGUGAACGCUGGCGGCGUGCUUAAGACAUGCAAGUCGAACGGCAGUCUUCGGACUGUAGUGGCGCACGGGUGAGUAACGCGUAACUGACCUACCCCAAAGUCGCGGAUAACGAUUCGAAAGAAUCGCUAAUACGUGAUGUGCUGUCAGAUUGUGUUCUGCCAGUAAAAAUUGAUUGCUUUGGGAUGGGGUUGCGUUCCAUCAGCUAGUUGGUGGGGUAAAGGCCCACCAAGGCGACGACGGAUAGCCGGCCUGAGAGGGUGGCCGGCCACAGGGGCACUGAGACACGGGUCCCACUCCUACGGGAGGCAGCAGUUAGGAAUCUUCCACAAUGGGCGAAAGCCUGAUGGAGCGACGCCGCGUGAGGGAUGAAGGUCUUCGGAUCGUAAACCUCUGAAUCAGGGACGAAAGACACUUCGGUGGGAUGACGGUACCUGAGUAAUAGCACCGGCUAACUCCGUGCCAGCCGCCGCAGUAAUAC
rnacentral:rRNA from 1 species